AAGGUACUGUGAAUACAAAAAUAAUACAGUAAUAUAUAAUAGGUUGAGAAACCCGUUUUUCAGACUUUGAUGCCUUUUCUUCAUUUGGAGUUAUUCUUACAGCCCUGAAGAAUGUGCUUUGUGACACAGUCUUCUCUGUUUGUCUUUUCAGGAUACUAAAUCAGAGUGCAAUUCCUGUGUAGAAACUGAGGACAGAAAAUACAACACUAUAACAUCACCAGAUACACUUGUCUACCCUCAUCAGCUUAAGGUUCUCUUGCUUCAGACCUGAAAACUUUGAAUCAGAAGUAAGUAUAUUCUCAAAAUUUCAUUUCAAAUAUACUUUCUAAAGUCAGACUGUUACAUCUGCUUCUACAAUUUUUGCGUUCUGCAACUGGCAGUAUUUUUUGUCUAGCCACUUUAUUAUAGUUCUUCUCCUCCCAAUCCUCUUCACACCUUCAAAAUGUCUUCCCAAGCCUGAAUUCAGUUAGCUUUAUUUUUAUUGAAGUUCACUAUAAAUAA
rnacentral:lncRNA from 1 species